rnacentral:rRNA from 1 species
GAUGGACCUGCGUUGUAUUAGCUAGUUGGUGGGGUAACGGCCCACCAAGGCGACGAUACAUAGCCGACCUGAGAGGGUGAUCGGCCACACUGGGACUGAGACACGGCCCAGACUCCUACGGGAGGCAGCAGUGGGGAAUAUUGCACAAUGGGCGAAAGCCUGAUGCAGCGACGCCGCGUGAGGGAUGAAGGCCUUCGGGUUGUAAACCUCUUUCGCUCAUGGUCAAGCCGCAACUCAAGGUUGUGGUGAGGGUAGUGGGUAAAGAAGCACCGGCUAACUACGUGCCAGCAGCCGCGGUAAUACGUAGGGUGCGAGCGUUGUCCGGAAUUAUUGGGCGUAAAGGGCUUGUAGGCGGUUUGUCGCGUCUGCCGUGAAAUCCUCUGGCUUAACUGGGGGCGUGCGGUGGGUACGGGCAGACUUGAGUGCGGUAGGGGAGACUGGAACUCCUGGUGUAGCGGUGGAAUGCGCAGAUAUCAGGAAGAACACCGGUGGCGAAGG